rnacentral:lncRNA from 12 species
GAAGUAAGAUGUGAUUUGAUGACUGACAUAUUCAUCACCUGAUCACUUGCACUUAGCAAGAGUUAAAUUAGAUUUGGUUCCAAAACAAACCAUAUGCACCAAGGAUAGUGAGCAACUCCAUGCCAAGUACUUUGAUGUGAUUGAGAAGACUCAGAUUGGAAGGUCUGAGACUUAAUAAUAAUGUAUUUGCUCCCUACUGAAGUCUCUCUUACAUCUGUUGGGGAAAAGCUGCCUCACAGCUCUUGCUUGAGAUGUUAAAGCAAAACUUCACCAGAUACAGUUUAAUACCUAGGCUUAUCUUCCUCCUCCUUCACAUGAGAAGUUGCCUAAUAGUUAUUCUGAG